rnacentral:lncRNA from 10 species
AGUUUCAAAAUUGUCUUUCCUGACCCCUGACAUCGGAUACUUCAGAGGGCCCCUGGAAUGUCCAGAAAAGAGAGGUAAACAGGAUUAUUGGACGGGUUUAGAUACAUGGGAUUGACAAAAUGAUGUUCAUUCUUCUUUAGGUUACAUUUUUGGUGAAUAAGGCUAAUAUAUGUUCCAAAAUUUAUGAGAAUUCUAAUGUCUAAGUAUAUGCUAUCAAUCAUAAUUAAGGUUGUUAUGUUAAGUUGUUGUAAACCACAGAGAUGGCCAAACUUCUUUGUCAAUUGUGUUGCUAGCUGUAACUACCCUGGACAUUUUGCUAUUCACAGACAAUUGUUGUCUUGUUUUAAUCCUUUUCAAAAGAUGGUUCGUAAUAAGCUAUAGAAAUUUAACAGAUCCUCUAAAAUACAGGCUUCUGAUAACUUUGGAAAUUGUAACAUUGGAAUAAAGGAAAACAUACAGGACUCGUGAACAGCUGAAAUGUUCAUGAAUAUUAAGCAAAACAAGAGUCAACUAAAUGGACUAAACUCAGAAACUGAAUGGAGCAAAUCUUUCUGACUUUUGCUUGAAAUAUUGCUGAUCCUUGUUAUGUUUUUCAGAGUCAAAGAAACUUAUUUUAAACUAUUUAUGGCCUUUAAUUAUUAAGAUACACUCCUAGAUCAAAAUUUGGAGCAUGUUUGUUUCUCUCUGCCUGCUUCCCUUAGAAUUUGGAAAGUAUCUGUGAGUAUUCUUAACUUACAGCAAUAUAGUUGUUUGCAUCAGUGCAAUAAGAAUCCAUCUUUCUUUUGCAACAGAACGCAAUUGGAAAAACUGGUCAUUUCACCAAGGCUUUGACUGGAAGGGUAUGCUUCCCUUUAAGGAGUCAAUCUCGACUUGCAGAGCCAAUAAAAGCCCAGUGGGGAGACUGGCCUCAUAACUUUGUCUAUGCAGUCCCUGUACAGGGUUCCUGAUGUGUGGUCAGUAAUGAUUGUCACUUUCUAACAGGUCCAGGAGCUCCAAGUUUAUCUUGGGACCUUAUGAGGAGAGGAUGACCCCACUCACAGGUAUUUGAGGAUACUAACCCAUGGCUGGGCUCAGUUUUAAAAUACCUUAUCUGAGACUCCUUGUGGAACAAAGUUCCAUCAAAGCCAAUCCAAAAGGCCUAUGUAGAAAUGAUUAUUCUUGCUGCACUUUAUGUAAAUAAUCAGGCCAAGUGUAAAACCAAAGUCUAUUUUUCAAACAACCCAGUCCCAUUAUGAUUUGUUUUUUUUAAACAAACAUGAGGACUGGAGAGAGUAAAAUUAUAUUCCAAACUUUCUCAUACAUUUGUCAUUAAAUUCUAAACUAACUAAUUGUUUUUAAGUUUUCUCCUACAUUUUAGACUAAUCCUGCUUGUUCCUGUGAACCAACCAGCAAUCUCUGGCUGCAGCUCAGAAAGAACAAAAGGGGAUGGACCAUCAAACUCCAAAUGGUCAUGCAACCAGAGCCUCUGACGAUGGCCCCUUCUGCUGGGAACCCUUAAAUAGGCCUCUGAGGAAGCUCUGACUGCCAUUUCCCCAAAAGCUCUGACUGCCGUUUCCCUGUCAGCAGGAAGCAGUUAAGUUUAGUCUUCAUCUUUAUCCUUAUUCUCAUGGCAGUUAGAUAUACUUUUUUAGAGCGGGGAAUGAGACAGCCAGGUGGGAGGGGGUCCCUGGAAAAAUUCUAACUGCACCGGGGUGGGGACUCAGGAAGUUCACGCAUUUUGCAGCUGGGAGGAGCGUGGCCCCUCCUCUUCCUGCAUGGAACCUGGGAUUCAAACAGGGGCUCUGGCCUUGCGGAAGAUCCCUGUUUCUCUCCUUCUUUUCCCUUUUCACCCAAUAAAACCCUGCCUUAAUCACACUUCAAACCAUUUGCUAGCCUAAAUUUUCAUGGCCAUGGGACAGACAAGGACUCAGUCUUUAGCUGAACUAAGGAAAUGUCCUGAAACAGUAAUAUGAAUGUAUACAUGUGAUAAAUGACAUAAAGCCAUAGUGUACAUAUUGUGCCAAUGUCAAAUUCCUAAUUUUGAUUUUGUGCUAUAAUUAUGUAAGGUAUAACCAUUGGGGAAAACUGGUAAGGGGUACGUGGAUCCCCUCUGCCCUACCUUUGAAACUCCCUGUGAAUCUAUUCUUUUUUUUUUUUUUUAAUUAUACUUUACGUUCUAGGGUACAUGUGCACAACAUGCAGGUUUGUUACAUAUGUAUGCAUGUGCCAUGUUGGUGUGCUGCACCAUUAACUCAUCAUUUACAUUAGGUAUAUCCCCUAAUGCUUUCCCUCCCCCCUCCCCCC